CGGAGUGGACGAACCUCUGGUGUUCGGGUUGUGUCGCCAGACGCAUUGCCCGGUAGCUAAGUUCGGAAUCGAUAACCGCUGAAAGCAUCUAAGCGGGAAGCGAGCCCUGAGAUGAGUCUUCCCUGAUACUUUAAGUAUCCUGAAGGGUUGUUCGAGACUAGAACGUUGAUAGGCAGGGUGUGUAAGCGUUGUGAGGCGUUGAGCUAACCUGUACUAAUUGCCCGUGAGGCUUAACCAUACAACACCCAAGGGGUUU
rnacentral:rRNA from 1 species